GACGAACGCUGGCGGCGUGCUUAACACAUGCAAGUCGAACGGAAAGGCCCUGCUUUUGUGGGGUGCUCGAGUGGCGAACGGGCGAGUAACACGUGAGUAACCUGCCCUUGACUUUGGGAUAACUUCAGGAAACUGGGGCUAAUACCGGAUAGGAGCUCCUGCUGCAUGGUGGGGGUUGGAAAGUUUCGGCGGUUGGGGAUGGACUCGCGGCUUAUCAGCUUGUUGGUGGGGUAGUGGCUGACCAAGGCUUUGACGGGUAGCCGGCCUGAGAGGGUGACCGGCCACAUUGGGACUGAGAUACGGCCCAGACUCCUACGGGAGGCAGCAGUGGGGAAUAUUGCACAAUGGGCGGGAGCCUGAUGCAGCAACGCCGCGUGCGGAAUGACGGCCUUCGGGUUGUAAACCGCUUUCGCCUGUGACGAAGCGUGAGUGACGGUAAUGGGUAAAGAAGCACCGGCUAACUACGUG
rnacentral:rRNA from 1 species